rnacentral:rRNA from 1 species
GACAGAGGGUGCAAACGUUGCUCGGAAUCACUGGGCGUAAAGGGUGCGUAGGCGGCGCGGUAAGUCGGGUGUGAAAUUUCGAGGCUUAACUUCGAAACUGCAUUCGAUACUGCCGUGCUUGAGGACUGGAGAGGAGACUGGAAUUUACGGUGUAGCGGUGAAAUGCGUAGAUAUCGUAAGGAAGACCAGUGGCGAAGGCGGGUCUCUGGACAGUUCCUGACGCUGAGGCACGAAGGCCAGGGGAGCAAACGGG